GUUAAAACUUACCAAAAUCCCUAUCAGGGAUUGAUGAAAC
rnacentral:other from 1 species